rnacentral:rRNA from 1 species
AUUGAACGCUGGCGGCAGGCUUAACACAUGCAAGUCGAGCGGGGUGAUGGUGCUUGCACUAUCACUUAGCGGCGGACGGGUGAGUAAUGCUUAGGAAUCUGCCUAUUAGUGGGGGACAACAUCUCGAAAGGGAUGCUAAUACCGCAUACGUCCUACGGGAGAAAGCAGGGGAUCACUUGUGACCUUGCGCUAAUAGAUGAGCCUAAGUCGGAUUAGCUAGUUGGUGGGGUAAAGGCCUACCAAGGCGACGAUCUGUAGCGGGUCUGAGAGGAUGAUCCGCCACACUGGGACUGAGACACGGCCCAGACUCCUACGGGAGGCAGCAGUGGGGAAUAUUGGACAGUGGGGGGAACCCUGAUCCAGCCAUGCCGCGUGUGUGAAGAAGGCCUUAUGGCUGUAAAGCACUUUAAGCGAGGAGGAGGCUCUUUUGGUUAAUACCCAAGAUGAGUGGACGUUACUCGCAGAAUAAGCACCGGCUAACUCUGUGCCAGCAGCCGCCGUAA